UGCCUUGUUGCUGCAGUAAAUGUGGACACACACUUUCACUUUGUGUCCGGGUUAUGCAAUGAGGCUACAGUAAAUACAGGCUAUGCUUCCAUCAUUGUAUGGCAAAAUUACAUUGGUGACAAUGAGGCCUGUAAUAAGC